AGAGUUUGAUCAUGGCUCAGAACGAACGCUGGCGGCAUGCCUAAUACAUGCAAGUCGAACGCGUGGAGCAAUCCACGAGUGGCGGACGGGUGAGUAACGCGUGGGAACCUGCCCUGGAGUGCGGAAUAACCGAGGGAAACUUCGGCUAAUACCGCAUACGACCUACGGGUGAAAGAUUUAUCGCUCUAGGAGGGGCCCGCGUCGGAUUAGCUAGUUGGUGGGGUAACGGCCUACCAAGGCUACGAUCCGUAGCUGGUCUGAGAGGAUGAUCAGCCACACUGGGACUGAGACACGGCCCAGACUCCUACGGGAGGCAGCAGUAGGGAAUAUUGGACAAUGGGGGCAACCCUGAUCCAGCAAUGCCGCGUGGGUGAUGAAGGCCUUAGGGUUGUAAAGCCCUUUCGGCGGGGACGAUGAUGACGGUACCCGCAGAAGAAGCCCCGGCUAACUUCGUGCCAGCAGCCGCGGUAAUACGAAGGGGGCGAGCGUUGUUCGGAAUUACUGGGCGUAAAGGGCGCGCAGGCGGCUCUUCAAGUCAGGCGUGAAAGCCCCGGGCUUAACCUGGGAAUUGCGCUUGGGACUGAAGAGCUCGAGUUCGGGAGAGGAGAGUGGAAUUCCCAGUGUAGAGGUGAAAUUCGUAGAUAUUGGGAAGAACACCGGUGGCGAAGGCGGCUCUCUGGACCGAUACUGACGCUGAGGCGCGAAAGCGUGGGGAGCAAACAGGAUUAGAUACCCCGGUAGUCC
rnacentral:rRNA from 1 species